rnacentral:lncRNA from 1 species
CUCUGCCAAAUCCCACGGGGAAGCAGAGUCCUGGUGUUCCCAUUGCUCUCCGCCAUCCUCACCCCAGCUGGGAGGAGAGACCAAUCCCUGCCCAACCUGGCAGGGCAAAAUUAACAGAGAAUUCAGGCUGCUGCUCCUGUUGGGUCCUUGGCCAGCACAGUCCCCCGAGGGAGGCUGCACAGGGUUAAUUAUUGCCACACCCUGAUUGGGUUUCCUCCUUUAACCCCACAUCCGGAGGUGAGUGGCCUUUCUUUGAUCCUGGCUUUAAUCUUACAGCUCAUGCCCUAGGCCGGUGUGGAGGGAGCUGCCGCUGUGCCCUGGGGCGCUGAAUUGUCACCUGUCCCCAUCCCGACAGAGAGGAGAGAGGUGAGAGUGUGCCUGGUGUCACUGGGGUGUGUGGGGAGCCUCCCUUCGGGUUUUCAGUCCAUAAAAAAAAAAUAGAGGAGCCAUAAUAUGUUGCAGAUUGGAAAGUCAGAGCUGUUGAUGAGCUGUUAAUGAGCAUUAUCCCGGUUUUCCCUCUGGAAGUAGGCGGG